rnacentral:rRNA from 1 species
UACAGAGGGGGCAAGCGUUGUUCGGAAUUACUGGGCGUAAAGGGCGCGUAGGCGGCCUUCUAAGUCGAACGUGAAAUCCCCGGGCUCAACCCGGGAACUGCGUCCGAUACUGGAAGGCUUGAAUCCGGGAGAGGGAUGUGGAAUUCCAGGUGUAGCGGUGAAAUGCGUAGAUAUCUGGAGGAACACCGGUGGCGAAGGCGACAUCCUGGACCGGCAUUGACGCUGAGGCGCGAAAGCGUGGGGGAGCAAACAGG